GGAGGCACUUGUCGCUGGGCCCUCGCCGUUGGCCUCCCGUGCGUCGCACCGCCUCCUCCCGCCUCGGCUCUCACCUCCAGCUGCAGCUCUAGAGGAGAGGAGAAGACAGUGACAGAGAGAUGGCUGCGUUGGCGCUGGCGGCCCCGCCCUCGCCUUUUCCUCCUCCUCGCCUUCCCAUCGCUCAUGCGCAAGUCGACCGACGGCAGGGAUGGUCAGGAAGGUUUCCCAGCCCGACAGUGCCGUCAUGGGAGUUGCAGGGAGCAGGAGUGGGAGGAGACAGGGAGGAUGAGGAAGGAGACAAGCAAGAGGAAGAGAAAAUCUUGCUCGCCUUAUGGACUCGCAAUAAACAAGUCCACAGGAAAAAUUCCUGAACGAUUUUGGUAUCCCCAGAUUUUUCUUCCCCGCGAUGAGAGAUCAGCGAGGAUUUGUGCGGCAGGGAGGGCACUGGUGAUAGGAAACAUGGGUCCAAGAAGUAAUCAAAGAGCAUGUACAGAGAUGGUGACAUUAUUUGGUCCUCUGGUAUUGAUUCAUGAUUUGGGGUUAAUACAUGAUGUUGAUCGUUUCAAGGUUGCUGCUGCUAAAUCAUAUGUAUGUACCAUGAUUAUUGAGGUGUAUGAAAUAAAUCUGAAGAAAAUAAGUAAGUCGCCUUCAUCAGCGAGGCUGCGAACAACUCGUGGUGCCCCUGUUAACCUCCUCAAUGUUUGCGUUGUUUGCCUGUCGGUCAAAUUCCCACUAUUCAGCAGACAGAAUCAAAACUCUGCUAUCUCUGGCCUUGCCUCUAGGGAAAAACAUGAGCUCAAAACUGAAAUACUCCAGAUUUACUUGCUAUCUUUUAGAAGGCAGGAAGCAAAUCUUAUGCAUGAGGGAGUAGAUCUUGCAAUUGAAGUCAUAUCUCCUGCAGAGGAGGAGCAACGAUGGGGUGGAAGCUACAGGGAAGUGGAUGCUAUCAAGAUCAUGCCAAAGGCGAUGCUCAUUCCCGUUCUUAGUGAGAUGGGUUUACUCGAUGCAAAGUAUGAGCAUUGCAGACUCUGGCGAGCUGCUGAAGGUCGA
rnacentral:rRNA from 1 species